UACGAAGGGGGCAAGCGUUGUUCGGAAUUACUGGGCGUAAAGGGCGCGUAGGCGGUGCACUAAGUCAGGCGUGAAAGCCCUGGGCUCAACCCGGGAAUUGCGCUUGAUACUGGUGCGCUUGAAUCCAGGAGAGGUUGGUGGAAUUCCCAGUGUAGAGGUGAAAUUCGUAGAGAUUGGGGAAGAACACCGGUGGCGAAGGCGGCCAACUGGACUGGUAUUGACGCUGGAGGCGCGGAAAGCGUGGGGAGCAAACAGG
rnacentral:rRNA from 1 species